UAAGGAAUAUUGGACAAUGGGGGCAACCCUGAUCCAGCCAUGCCGCGUGCAGGAUGAAAGUGUUAUGCACUGUAAACUGCUUUUACUUGGGAAAAAUUCCUCCGAUUCUUCGGGGGUUGAUUGUACCAAGAGAAUAAGGGACGGCUAACUUCGUGCCAGCAGCCGCGGUAAUACGAAGGUCCCAAGCGUUAUCCGGAUUUAUUGGGUUUAAAGGGUGCGUAGGCGGACUAUUAAGUCAGUGGUGAAAUCCUGCAGCCUAACUGCAGAAUUGCCAUUGAUACUGAUGGUCUUGAGUACAUUUGAGGUAGGCGGAAUGUGUCAUGUAGCGGUGAAAUGCUUAGAUAUGACACAGAACACCGAUUGCGUAGGCAGCUUACUAAACUGUAACUGACGCUGAGGCACGAAAGCGUGGGGAGCAAACAGGAUUAGAUACCCGCGUAGUCC
rnacentral:rRNA from 1 species